GAUGAACGCUGGCGGCGUGCUUAACACAUGCAAGUCGAACGAUGAAGCCCAGCUUGCUGGGUGGAUUAGUGGCGAACGGGUGAGUAACACGUGAGUAACCUGCCCUUAACUCUGGGAUAAGCCUGGGAAACUGGGUCUAAUACCGGAUAGGAGCGUCCACCGCAUGGUGGGUGUUGGAAAAUUUUUCGGUGUUGGAUGGACCCGCGGCCUAUCAGCUUGUUGGUGAGGUAAUGGCUCACCAAGGCGACGACGGGUAGCCGGCCUGAGAGGGUGACCGGCCACACUGGGACUGAGACACGGCCCAGACUCCUACGGGAGGCAGCAGUGGGGAAUAUUGCACAAUGGGCGCAAGCCUGAUGCAGCGACGCCGCGUGAGGGAUGACGGCCUUCGGGUUGUAAACCUCUUUCAGUAGGGAAGAAGCGAAAGUGACGGUACCUGCAGAAGAAGCACCGGCUAACUACGUG
rnacentral:rRNA from 1 species